rnacentral:rRNA from 1 species
ACCAGACUCCUACGGGAGGCAGCAGUGGGGGAUAUUGCACAAUGGGGGGAACCCUGAUGCAGCGACGCCGCGUGGGUGAAGGAGUGCUUCGGCAUGUAAAGCCCUAUCGGCAGGGAAGAAGCAAGACGGUACCUGACUAAGAAGCCCCGGCUAACUACGUGCCAGCAGCCGCGGUAAUACGUAGGGGGCGAGCGUUAUCCGGAUUCACUGAGUGUAAAGGGAGCGUAGACGGCGGCGCAAGUCUGGAGUGAAAGCCCGGGGCCCAACCCCGGGACUGCUCUGGAAACUGCGGCGCUGGAGUACGGGAGGGGCAGGCGGAAUUCCUGGUGUAGCGGUGAAAUGCGUAGAUAUUGGGAGGAACACCAGUGGCGAAGGCGGCCUGCUGGACAUUAACUGACGCUGAGGCGCGAAAGCGUGGGGAGCAAACAGGAUUAGAUACCCUAGUAUAA